UACAGGGGGUGCAAACGUUGCUCGGAAUUAUUGGGCGUAAAGCGCGCGUAGGCGGCUACUUAAGUCGGAUGUGAAAGCCCUUGGCUCAACUGAGGAAGUGCACCCGAAACUGAGUGGCUUGAGUACUAAAGAGGGUCGCGGAAUUCCCGGUGUAGAGGUGAAAUUCGUAGAUAUCGGGAGGAACACCGGUGGCGAAGGCGGCGACCUGGACCGGUUCUGACGCUGAGGCGCGAAAGCGUGGGUAGCAAACAGG
rnacentral:rRNA from 1 species